rnacentral:tRNA from 2 species
CGCAGGGUAGAGCAGUUGGUAGCUCGUCGGGCUCAUAACCCGAAGGUCAUAGGUUCGAGUCCUAUCCCUGCUAUAU